AAGGGUGGGUGGGCAUUGAAUGCUGAUGUUUAUGGUUGAGUAGUUACAAGAUACUUGAUGUACCAUGUGUAGUACAUGAUGGAAGAUACUUUAUUCUUUAGAUUAAAAUUUAAAAAUCAUGAAAGUUCACAUGCCGAUCUCUGACUUGGUAAGCGUUUUUUUUUUAUAUUUUGUGUUUAUAUAAAAAGGAAGAUGAGUAGAUGGGUGUUGAACCUUUUUUACUGUCAUUGAAAUAAUAAGUUCACUACUGCC